rnacentral:lncRNA from 1 species
AUUUAGUAUUUUAUGAAUCUUAAGAUAUUAUAUUAUAUAUUUAUGAUGUAUUUUUACACAAAGAUAUUUAUUAUACAUAAAAUGUACAAAAAUAAUAAUAUUUAUAAUAUUUCUUAUCUUUCUCACUUUUACUUUAGGGUGGACCACACACUAAUGCCCCAAAGAGUUUUCGAACAAAGAAUUUACCUAUGCAUAAAGUGACGUUUAUUUGUCUCCACCUCAUAAACACUACAACAAUUAAUAAUAAUUCUUCCUAAUUAUAAAUCUAAAUCAAUUCAAAGUUAGUUAAAUAGAUCAAUGACAGUUGUUAUUACGUUUGCUUAGAGCGCAGAAUUGUUAUGGUGUUUAUUAAACGCAAAUGAUGAUUUUCUAAAUACCCUAGUAUAAAUAUUAUGGAUGCCAAGGAAAAAGAAACAGGUUUUUCGAUCUUAAAUCAGGAAAUUUUCAGGUGAACUAAAACAACCUUCGAUUUUACCAAAAAAAAAAACAACCUUCGAUGAUAGCAAAAAAAUGAAACUAAAAAAAAAUGAAAUAUUAAAAGGGCUUAUUGGCGACAUAGCCAUAUUUGAGAGACAAAUUAAAGAACUAACAUUGAUUUUGACAUAAUUUAAUGUCAGACUUUUUGGUCUCAAUCAACCCGGUUCUAUCCCUUCACGUAACAGGUUACCAGUUCCACUUCCAAAUAUAAGAGACAUGGUUUUUUUAGGGAUACUUAAUUAUACGAAACAUAUAUGACAGCUGUAUUUAACACACGAUGGAAAAAGAAAUAUUCUAUUUCAUCUCACAAACAUAGUAAAGUACUAUAAACACAAUUAGAAUCACAACCAACCUCCAACCCCAACCAAUCUCUAACCCUGAAAUACUAGACAUUACACCAAUCCACCUCGAAACCAUAAAUACUAACCCCUAAAUCCAAAUUCAUAAACCCAAACCCAAUGUAAAAUAUCUUUAAUAAAUUAAAGUACAAAAUAGUAUAUAAUUAACUAUUCUAUUUCAUCUCCAGUGUAGUAUAGUACUAAAAUCACUAGAAUCACAACCAAUCUUCAACAUUAAAAUACUAAAUCCUAAACCAACCCACCUCAAAUCCAUAAAUACUAAACCCAAAACCCGAAUUCAUAAAUCCAAACCCAAAUGUAAAAUAUAUUUAAUAAAUUAAAAUACGAAAAUAGAAUAAAUUUAACUGUUAUAUUCCAUCUCACCAACAUAGUAUAGUACUAUAACCACUAGAAUCACAACCAACCUCCAUCCAACACUGAAAUACUAAACCUUAAAUCAAUCCACCUCAAAGCCAUUAAUACUAAACCCUAAACCUGAAUUCAUAAACCCAAACUUAAAUGUAAAAUAUCUUUAAUAAAUUAAAAUACAAAAAUAGUAUAAAUUUAAUUGUUCUAUUUCAUUUCACGAACAUAGUAUAGUACUAUAACCACAAUCAGAAUCACAACCAACCUCCGACUCUGAAAUACUAGAUCCUGAACAAACCCACCUCGAACCCCUAAAUACUAAGCCCUAAACCCG